rnacentral:tRNA from 1 species
AAAGUUAUAGCUCAGUGGUAGAACGCUUGCAUAGCAUGCAUGAGGCCCUGGGUUCAAUCCCAGUACCUCUA